rnacentral:rRNA from 1 species
UACGUAGGGCGCAAGCGUUGUCCGGAAUUACUGGGCGUAAAGGGCGCGUAGGCGGCACUGUUAGUCAGGCGUGAAAGUCCUGGGCUCAACCUGGGAACUGCGCUUGAUACGGCAGAGCUAGAGGAUGGAAGAGGGUCGCGGAAUUCCCAGUGUAGAGGUGAAAUUCGUAGAUAUUAGGGAAGAACACCGGUGGCGAAGGCGGCGACCUGGUCCAUUACUGACGCUGAGGCGCGACAGCGUGGGGAGCAAACAGGG